GCCCGGGUGGUGAAAUGGUAGACACGAGGGACUUAAAAUCCCUUGACCUUUAUCGGUCGUGCAGGUUCGAGUCCCGUCCCGGGCA
rnacentral:tRNA from 1 species